rnacentral:rRNA from 1 species
GAGCGGUAGAGAGAAGCUUGCUUCUCUUGAGAGCGGCGGACGGGUGAGUAAUGCCUAGGAAUCUGACUGGUAGUGGGGGAUAACGUGUGGAAACGCACGCUAAUACCGCAUACGCCCUACGGGGGAAAGCAGGGGACUCUUUUAGAGCCUUGCACUAAUGGAUGAGCCUAGGUCGGAUUAGCUAGUAGGUGGGGUAAUGGCUCACCUAGGCGACGAUCCCUAGCUGGUCUGAGAGGAUGACCAGCCACACUGGAACUGAGACACGGUCCAGACUCCUACGGGAGGCAGCAGUGGGGAAUAUUGCACAAUGGGCGCAAGCCUGAUGCAGCCAUGCCGCGUGUGUGAAGAAGGCCUUAGGGUUGUAAAGCACUUUCAGCGAGGAGGAAGGGUUCAGUGUUAAUAGCACUGUGCAUUGACGUUACCCGCAGAAGAAGCACCGGCUAACUCCGUGCCAGCAGCCGCGGUAAUACGGAGGGUGCAAGCGUUAAUCGGAAUUACUGGGCGUAAAGCGCACGCAGGCGGUCUGUCAAGUCGGAUGUGAAAUCCCCGGGCUCAACCUGGGAACUGCAUUCGAAACUGGCAGGCUAGAGUCUUGUAGAGGGGGGUAGAAUUCCAGGUGUAGCGGUGAAAUGCGUAGAGAUCUGGAGGAAUACCGGUGGCGAAGGCGGCCCCCUGGGCAAAGACUGACGCUCAGGUGCGAAAGCGUGGGGAGCAAACAGGAUUAGAUACCCUGGUAGUCCACGCCGUAAACGAUGUCGACUUGGAGGUUGUGCCCUUGAGGCGUGGCUUCCGGAGCUAACGCGUUAAGUCGACCGCCUGGGGAGUACGGCCGCAAGGUUAAAACUCAAAUGAAUUGACGGGGGCCCGCACAAGCGGUGGAGCAUGUGGUUUAAUUCGAUGCAACGCGAAGAACCUUACCUGGCCUUGACAUCCACGGAAUUUGGCAGAGAUGCCUUAGUGCCUUCGGGAACCGUGAGACAGGUGCUGCAUGGCUGUCGUCAGCUCGUGUUGUGAAAUGUU